rnacentral:ncRNA from 2 species
CCCGGCCUUGAGGCCCCUGGUGCCUGGGCGCGUAGUCCAGGCUUAAAGUGGGGAAGUCCGGUGAAAGUCCGGCGCUGUCCCGCAACGGUAACCAGGCGAACCGUCGAAGCUUAGCGUCACUGCCUGGAAGCCCGAAUACCUGCCAGGGGAGCCCCCCGACC